UAGGGAAUCUUCGGCAAUGGACGAAAGUCUGACCGAGCAACGCCGCGUGAGUGAAGAAGGUUUUCGGAUCGUAAAACUCUGUUGUUAGAGAAGAACAAGGACGUUAGUAACUGAACGUCCCCUGACGGUAUCUAACCAGAAAGCCACGGCUAACUACGUGCCAGCAGCCGCGGUAAUACGUAGGUGGCAAGCGUUGUCCGGAUUUAUUGGGCGUAAAGCGAGCGCAGGCGGUUUCUUAAGUCUGAUGUGAAAGCCCCCGGCUCAACCGGGGAGGGUCAUUGGAAACUGGGAGACUUGGGUGCAGAAGAGGAGAGUGGAAUUCCAUGUGUAGCGGUGAAAUGCGUAGAUAUAUUGAGGAACACCAGUGGCGAAGGCGGCUCUCUGGUCUGUAACUGACGCUGAGGCUCGAAAGCGUGGGGAGCAAACAGG
rnacentral:rRNA from 1 species